GCGAUCGAUGCACUCCGCUCCGUGCGUCGCAACAACCGCGCACCGGUUACUGUCCGUCGCGUUGGCCACGGGUUCCUCCUGGCUCCGACGAAGCGGCGACCAAGAGCUGACUCUGGCACCCGUCCUCGGCUGCUCCUGUGCGAACUACUUACUGGACGCCUUGAUCGUAUGCUAGUGAGUGUGCUGAAGGCUCCACGGCGAUAAUUCAGGGCGAAUACGUGAAGCCGGAGAGAUAUUAUACGAUUAAGGUCAGUGACCCGCCUUAGUGGCACGUGCUGGCUCCACGUGGAGUGAGUAGCGAGGAGGAGUGUUCACUGCGUUCGGUGCUGUAGGAACUUACGGUCCUCGUCGCACCUGACACCCACGUCGAGGGGCCUGUUUCUGAGAGCAAGGUACCAACAAGUCCUUACUAAUGGAAUUCUGGAAACCUCACGAAAUUUCCCUUGCACCAGCUUUGGAGGAGGAAGAUGAAAGGAAGGCAAAAGGAAGAAAAGAUGUUGGCAAAAUCCUCAAUGCCCUGAUGAGUGUUUUGCCAGUGGGUGACGAUGCAAUGGAAUUCGCGCCUCAAUUUGCUUCUAACAUUCCUGUGAUUCGUCAGACAUCGAAGAGGCACCGGUUGCUACCAACCGCGGGAAGGAGGAACCACCGUAGGCGUCAUACUCGGGUUCUGGGAACUAGGAGGCCCGCAAGCAUUGAAAACCAAUAUUUCACUUUGUUUAUUCUGACAAAGGACGGGCUGCUCAACGAAAUUCGUAUCACCGAUAAGUUGUAAACCAAGUGUGGAACACGCUUUGGUCCUAUGAGCUUAGCCAACUCAUAUUUCUCCUUAAGAAACUAUUUUAAUUAAGUAAUAUUAUUUUUGUAUUAUUUAAUAUUGUAUUGUGUAUUUGGUACCUAUUUAAUUUAAUUUAUUAAACUACUCCCUCUACUU
rnacentral:lncRNA from 1 species